GAUGAACGCUAGCGAUAGGCCUAACACAUGCAAGUCGAGGGGCAUCACAUGAAGUAGCAAUACCGAUGGUGGCGACCGGCGCACGGGUGAGUAACACGUAUGCAACCUGCCUUCAACAAGGGCAUAACCCGUUGAAAGACGGACUAAUACCCUAUAAUACAGGGGCCCCGCAUGGGGAUAUUUGUUAAAGAUUUAUCGGUUGAAGAUGGGCAUGCGUCCCAUUAGCUGGUUGGUGGGGUAACGGCCCACCAAGGCAACGAUGGAUAGGGGAACUGAGAGGUUUAUCCCCCACACUGGUACUGAGACACGGACCAGACUCCUACGGGAGGCAGCAGUGAGGAAUAUUGGUCAAUAGGACGCAAGUCUGAACCAGCCACGUCGCGUGAAGGAAGACGGCCCUACGGGUUGUAAACUCUUUUAUACGGGAAUAAAGUGCCCCACGUGUGGGUUUUGCAAGUACCGUAUGAAUAAGGAUCGGCUAACUCCGUGCCAGCAGCCGCG
rnacentral:rRNA from 1 species